GAUGAACGCUAGCGGCAGGCUUAACACAUGCAAGUCGAACGCCCCGCAAGGGGAGUGGCAGACGGGUGAGUAACACGUGGGAACGUGCCCUAAGGUUCGGAAUAUUCCCGGGAAACUGGGAGCAGUACCGAAUGUGUCCGCAAGGAGAAAGAUUUAUCGCCUUAGGAUCGGCCCGCGUCGGAUUAGCUAGUUGGCGGGGUAAAAGCCCACCAAGGCGACGAUCCGUAGCUGGUCUGAGAGGACGACCAGCCACACUGGGACUGAGACACGGCCCAGACUCCUACGGGAGGCAGCAGUGGGGAAUCUUGGACAAUGGGCGAAAGCCUGAUCCAGCCAUGCCGCGUGGAUGAUGAAGGCCCUAGGGUUGUAAAAUCCUUUCGUUGGGGACGAUAAUGACGGUACCCAAAGAAGAAGCUCCGGCUAACUUCGUGCCAGCAGCCGCGGUAAUACGAAGGGGGCUAGCGUUGUUCGGAUUUACUGGGCGUAAAGCGCGUGUAGGCGGACUUGUAAGUUGGGGGUGAAAUCCGAGG
rnacentral:rRNA from 1 species